AUUUCUAUAGUUGAAUCACAACGACGGCUUUUCGGGUCGUAGGUCUUGGAUUGAAGCCAAGUAGGAAUU
rnacentral:tRNA from 2 species